UACGGGGGAUGCAAGCGUUAUCCGGAAUCAUUGGGCGUAAAGCGCCUGUAGGUUGUUUAAUAAGUCUGUUGUUAAAGACUGGGGCUUAACCCCAGGAAAGCAAUGGAAACUACUAGACUAGAGUAUGGCAGGGGUAGAGGGAAGUUCUAGUGUAGCGGUGAAAUGCGUAGAUAUUAGAAAGAACACCGGUGGCGAAAGCGCUCUACUGGACCAUUACUGACACUCAGAGGCGAAAGCUAGGGUAGCAAAAGGGAUUAGAUACCCCUGUAGUCCUAGCCGUAAACGAUGGAUACUAGAUGUUGUAUGUUAUUUACAGUAUCGUAGCUAACGCGUUAAGUAUCCCGCCUGGGGAGUACGCUCGCAAGGGUG
rnacentral:rRNA from 1 species